UUACGAGCUUGCCAACCAUCCCAAAUCGUGUGUGCUGCGGUUCUGUAAUUUUGACGGUGGGUGGAAGCGGGGUGCGGGCGGCGAGCAACUCCGCUGGGCGUUCUGGCCGGCGGCGAGCAACUCCGCUUGGCGUUCUGGCCAGCGACGAGCGCUGCAGAAGGAAUUGUGGCGGUCGGCGAGGGCUGCAGCUGGGGAUUGCGGCGAUUGGCGAGCGAUCUCGCCCCCGUGUUCGUCUCCUCCGCCCUACCGCGACAUCCUCCUCGCCGGCGCCUACUUCCGCACCCGAGUGCGGCAUCCUCCGCCCCAGUGCCGGCAGCACCAUCUCCUCCACCUCGUUCUUCACCACCUGACGCCACCCGCCGUCCUCUACGGAUCCAUUCGCCACCUCUUACCAGCGCCGCUGUCAGUGCCCUGCCGUGGAGCUCCUGCCGCUGGGCUCCAACUCUCCUUGCCUCGAACCGCCGAGAUCCAACCAGCCGCGACCAGGUCGUGUCGCCGCCGAGCUCCAGUCAACCGGGAUGAGGUCAUGUCGCCACCGUCCUCGCCUCGUGCCCAAAGUUCCUGCCGUUGGCUGCUAGCGCCAGUCGCCGCCGUCCUCCUCGUCUGCAACCUCUCCUGCCAUCCUAGUCGGCUCCAAUUGCUCCUGUUGUAUUCUUCUUUUCCGAGCAGGAACAAGAUCCUCCUUCCUUUAGUCAACGAGCCAUGACCCAGUAUGUCCAAGCAUCGUCACCAGACCACACAAUGUUGGGCGGUUAUUGAGGCUAAUCGGGGGCAGGAGAUUCAAUCCUUCUUUUGAUGCCGGCCAACAGGGAGCACAGUGGUGCAUUAGAAAUUCUUGCAACAUGAGCUAUUCCUCCCAUUGAAUGAGCUGAGCUUACUGGUGGCCUACAACAUGUAGUACUUUUGUUCUUAUCCGUGUUUAUAUUCCUCCCAAAGAUUAUCUUGAACCUUGUCCCUGCAAUGGAUCUACGAUAUGAUGCUAUUUUGUGGAAACAUUUUCUUAAUUAAGGUGGCAUCAGCAUCGUGCUUACCAGCAGGCAGCCUCAGCACUGAUGUGGGUCCUUUCAAGGCUGUGAAGAGCUUGUACCAGGCCAGGUGUACGAGAGUUCCAUGGCUGUCAAAUACUUGUCUGAGCAUCUAAAUGGUGUUGACCCUAAACAGAUUAAGCUGGAUAGACGGUGAUGUUCAAAAAAUUAAGUGGAACUGGGGAUGUGUCCUGCUCCUGGGUUCACAAUGAAAUGUAGAGCUGCAUGGAAAUACAACAUCAAAGCGUCGUCUAGUGGAGCUGUUGUAACUAAAUAAUUUGCACCGACUCAUGUAAUUUAUUACAUGUUCACAUAUUAAUUCCUUUAUUUUUGAUAUGCACGCUAUGCCUGAAAUAUGUAGACACAUCUGUGCAUGGGCACAUAUAUAUAUAUAUGUUUAUUCGCAUGGAAUUCUUACUCAAGUCGUAUGUGUAAAACUUGUAUUGUGUAAUCAUGCCAUCCUUGAUAUUCUUAUGGGCAUCAAACUUUUCUGUCACCUCUGAAAUAUCUUCCUCCAUCGUGUAAUCGUGUAAAACUUGCACGGAGUAGCUAUAUUAAGUUGUAGUCGUGUUUUUAUCAAGUUUUUACAUCGCCUCUGAGAUUUCCUAGGUGAGUGCUUGGCCCAAAAUUUCUUUCGAUGGCGGACAAAUUGAAUUAGUUGCCCUUGGAUUCUAGCAGUAUUUCUCUGCUCUUGGUGCUCUAACAGAUUUUCUUAGUAGGUUAAUUUUUCUUGCCUACUCCGUAG